rnacentral:tRNA from 1 species
GCUCUAAAGGAUAACAGCCUCUCCUUAU